GUGAACGCUGGCGGUAGGCCUAACACCUGCAAGUCGCACGGCAGCACAGUAAGAGCUUGCUCUUACGGGUGGCGAGUGGCGGACGGGUGAGGAAUACAUCGGAAUCUACUUUUUCGUGGGGGAUAACGUAGGGAAACUUACGCUAAUACCGCAUACGCCCUACGGGUGAAAGCAGGGGAUCUUCGGACUUUGCGCGAUUGAAUGAGCCGAUGUCGGAUUAGCUAGUUGGCGGGGUAAAGGCCCACCAAGGCGACGAUCCGUAGCUGGUCUGAGAGGAUGAUCAGCCACACUGGAACUGAGACACGGUCCAGACUCCUACGGGAGGCAGCAGUGGGGAAUAUUGGACAAUGGGCGCAAGCCUGAUCCAGCCAUACCGCGUGGGUGAAGAAGGCCUUCGGGUUGUAAAGCCCUUUUGUUGGGAAAGAAAAGCAGCAGGUUAAUACCCCGCUGUUCUGACGGUACCCAAAGAAUAAGCACCGGCUAACUUCGUG
rnacentral:rRNA from 1 species